rnacentral:rRNA from 1 species
GGUUAAGUUAGUAAGGGCGCACGGUGGAUGCCUUGGCACUAGGAGCCGAAGAAGGACGUGACAAACGACGAAAUGCCUCGGGGAGCUGUAAGUAAGCACUUGAUCCGGGGAUGUCCGAAUGGGGGAACCCAACAGGUUGAUGCCUGUUACCCAUUUCUGUUAAGGAAAUGAGGAGGAAGACGCAGUGAACUGAAACAUCUAAGUAGCUGCAGGAAGAGAAAGCAAAAGCGAUUGCCUUAGUAGCGGCGAGCGAAGAGGCAGGAGGGCAAACCGAAGAGUUUACUCUUCGGGGUUGUAGGACUGCAAUGUGGACUCAGAAUUUAUAGAAGAAUGACUUGGGAAAGUCAGCCAAAGAGAGUAAGAGCCUCGUAUUUUAAAUAGAUUCUGUACCUAGCAGUAUCCUGA